UACGUAGGGGGCUAGCGUUGUCCGGAAUCAUUGGGCGUAAAGAGCGCGUAGGCGGCCAAACAGGUCCGUUGUGAAAACUGGAGGCUCAACUUCCAGACGUCGACGGAAACCGUGUGGCUAGAGUCCGGAAGAGGAGAGUGGAAUUCCUGGUGUAGCGGUGAAAUGCGCAGAUAUCAGGAAGAACACCAAUGGCGAAGGCAGCUCUCUGGGACGGUACUGACGCUGAGACGCGAAAGCGUGGGGAGCGAACAGG
rnacentral:rRNA from 1 species